rnacentral:lncRNA from 1 species
CAUUUCUAGCGUAGGUUGGGAAGCCGACACUCCCCGGUAACUGGCAGGGGGAGGCGGUUUGCGGGACGCUGCCGGGGGGCGCUGAGCUUUGUGCCAACCUCUCCCAGCGUCCGGCCAGCCAGGAGAAAGCUGCGAAUGCAGGAGGGGAUGAAGGCGGAGAAUGGGUGAGGAAGGAAGGGGCUGGGAAAUGGGAAGAGGUCGUUCUGCCCCCGAAACUACAUAAUGGCUGGGAAGGACCGCCAAACAAGACUGGAACCAGUAGGAAGUUGUACGGUAUGAAGAAACAGGCCCAAGGAAGCUUCCAGAUUUUGUCAGAUGGUAGAUUCCAAGUCUCCAACUUCUACUGCUGCUUGGUGCUGUCUAACCGUCCCUUAAUGGCACAGAUUCACUGGACAGAGGAAGAAGAGGAUGGCCAAGAUUUACUGGUUGAAAGAUGAGACAGCUCCCUUCUGAUGCUUUCUAUCUGCCUUUGAAAUUCAUCAGCUGAGGGUGAGGAAGAGAUGGGAGAAUUGGAGUUUGAUUAUGUCAUAGAAGCAACUAUACAGUUCAGUUGUGUUGGAGGACCUCACCAUCAGGUCUCGCUCCCUCUUAGUAAGUGUCAAGAGAGACCAAGGCCACUGUUGCUUCUUCCAAAUUCCAUUUUAUAAGGACUCUCAAUUUUAAAGUUGAGAAGAUGGAUCAUAUGCCUAUCUGCUUCCAGUGUCCUCUUGCUUCCAGGCUGAAGGAGCUGUGUUCUCCAGGACAUGGAAUUAUUGACAUCAUCUACAAGGCAUAUUAACCAUGAAGAAAGACAGAUUUCAACUGUACGUCCUCUUUCUGCAGAGACUGAAGAAGAGAGUUCCAUGGACCCCAGCUUCAAAAAACAUGACUCUACAGUGUGAAAUAAUUGAGGGUAAGCACUGCGAAUUUUUUUUUUUUUGGGGGGGCCACACCCACAGGAAUGUGGAAAAUCUCAGGCUAGGGGUUAAAUCGAAGCUGCAACUGCCAGCCUACACUAUAGCCAUAGCAACUUGGGAUCCAAGCUGGGUCUGUGACCUACACCACAGCUCAUAGCAACGCUGGAUCCCCAACCCCACUGAGUGGAGCCAGAAAUGGAACCCAGAUCUUCAUGGAUAUUAGCCAGAUUCAUUUUCACUGUGCUGCAACGGGAACUCCAGCACUGUGAAUUUGGGACAUGAUGUCUCCCACACUGAGUAGAUAGUCCUGUACAUAUUGAGUCCUGAAAACACUGAAUGAAUGAAUCAAAUAGCCUUUUUUGGAGAUCCACUGUACUGGUAGUAUGCUAUGUGUUUUAUGUAUGUUCUUUCAUUCUUCUAAUGUUGUUCUAUGGCUGAGGAAACUGAAGCUAACUAGAAGUAAAAGAAGCUGAAGAUCUAGAAUUGACAAGCAUAGAAAGGAGAUAUGAAUAGAUCUGAAGUUCAAGGGGAGGACUCCUGCAUGAGCAGGGCCUUAGUCUGGGUGUUGAGACAUGUUGUGAGAUUCACCAUCAUGGCUCAGCUGGUCCUAGUUCCAGGCCCAGCUGUGGGGGGCCAUCACCUCUGAGGUCUUCUCAGGCCACCAUGUGGCAGCACCAUUGUCAGGCACUUGUUGUCAGUGACAAAAAUGGACUUCCUAUUUGCUCCUUCUAAUAGCCCCUUAAAAUAACACAUGAGUCUUUCAUAGUUUUAGCUUCCACUUGAGAACCUGCAUUCAGACUAAAACCUUUUUGUUGUGGUUGAGAUUGAUUUGCAAUCUGAUUCUUGCAUUAGAUAGCCAUUCUUAGGCUAUUAGGAGCCCCAUAGAAAAUUGCUCCAAUGGAUCCAUAUCACUUUGGGAAGUUCCCGUGGAAUUGUUCUUCCGGAGAAAUGAUAAAAACUCUGGGUCAGUCGCUAGAGUGUCAGCAGAUUGAAUGGCCAAAAGAGAAUGCCUCCCAUCUGUGGCCCUGAAGUGCUGGGUCAGCAGAGGAAAGUGGUUAAAAUAAUUACCGUGGAGUCAGGGAAUUUGGCAGAUUUGGGAGAUCACACAUGUAAAGGGACCUUUUUUCCUCCGUUUUCUUAUCUCAGACCCAUGUGAAUUGAUGAUCAUGAGGGCACCAAGGGGACAGAAAUAGACGUUAUCCUGCUCCGGUCCCAAACCGGGAAGAAAGAAAUAACCAACCCUACUUCUCUACAUGGGUGGAAUGAGGGCUGACCAGUAUGCAAAUGGCAGCAGACAUAUGGUUAUGUUCUGAUUAGCUACUAGUGAUUUGAAGCCAUGCAUAUGUAUCAACUGCUGAUGUAUGUAUGGACAAUACAUCUGUUUACACAAAUAGACUUGAAGCAUUUUUUUUUCCAUUUUUCUUAAGGAUCUAGUACUGGAUGCCCAUAGGAAAAGAUGUUUUACUUCCUUUUCCCAUUAAUUUUGAUCAGCCAGAAUCAAACUACUUUGUUUUCUCUUAUUCUUACUUUUGUGAAGGAACUUUUUCUUUGUGUGUGUAGCUUUACUAACCAUAUUGUUUGGGCUCUUGAAAAAGGAGGUAUGGGAGUUCCCAUUGUGGCCUAACAAGAUUGGCAGCAUCUCUGGAGUACUGGGAUACAGGUUAAGUCCCCGGCCCAGCACAACAGAUUAAGGAUCUGGCAUUGCCUCAGCUAUAGCAUAGGUUGAAACUGCAGCUCGGAUCUAAUCCCUGGCCUGGGAACUCUAUGUGCCAUGGGG